CUGCACAAAUCAGUGGAAUGGAACCAUACAGAAACUCGAUCUGUAACUCAUCAUAGUCAACUUGCAUAAAAAAAGAAAUCAGCUCAAUAUGUGAAAGCAUUUAUAAAUGUUAAUUUCACAAAAGCCCAAAGUCUGGAUUCUAACUCACCAUAGUGGAAUAAAUUACUAAAAUUCAGCUCAAUAUGUGAAUGUGUUUAGAAAAAAACUCUACGUUACUGUUAUUUUCAUAGAAUGUUCGAAGUCCAAAGCCUGCUGUUUGUGACAAAAAUCAGUGGAGAGGAACUAAUCUCAAACUUUAUCUGUAAAUUAUCAUAGAAGACUCGCAUACUAAAUUUUAGCUCAAUACAUUAAGGCAUUUGGAAAAAAAAGUCUAUAAAUGUUUGUUGCGGAAUGACGGGUAAGGGUAAAAAUAAAAAGAUAUCUGGUAUGAACAGCAAAGAGACAACUAACCAUUAAGAUAAAAAGACCUAGAUGUGGCAAAUUCCAGGUCAACAUAUAGCCUUCAACAAUGACCAAUACUUAUAUUGUAUAGCCUGGUAUGACAAAACCUAAGUAAAACGAUGUGCCAGACUUAUACUUAAAAGGAUGAAUGAAAAACAAGUAUGGUAGAUGACCAAUGAUUACCACCUGAUAACACUGGUGCCUGUUAUGAGUAAUGGAAUAAUUAUAUUUGUGUACCAUGCAUUGUCAUCAUACAUGUUAGACAGUUUUCACUCUACCUCAUUUCAUGGAUCAGAGAACACAAUUAAUAAAUAGUCGACAAGUUCAUAUCUCAGAUACUAUAAGCUAAAGGUCUUCCGUAGUUGAUGUAUGGAAUGAUUUUAAGAUGAACAUAUUUG
rnacentral:lncRNA from 1 species